rnacentral:lncRNA from 1 species
UAUGACUUCAGCCCAGUUCGGCCUGGUUAGCAAACCAAUUUCAGCACAGUUCUAGUCCAUUAUCAACCCAGCUCAAAGCAGUAAAAUAUUGCUUCUAAACCAUUCCACAAUAUUAUAUAUGAACAACAAUAUAUGUUCUUAUCUGACAAAGAUCACAGUACAUAUAAAUUAAAGUUUCAACAUGCGAUGACAUAUGUUCUGAUCCAACAUAAAUAUGAAACUACAAUCACUCCAGUGCCACAAACUACCUGCGACAAAAUGCAUGCAUUGAUAACCAUGAACAGAAUGCAUACAGUUUGCAUCAGCAAAAGCAUUGCAAGAUAGCUUCCAACAAAAGCAUGGCACCAGCAAAAGGUCAAGUUCAGCGUCCAUCUCGGCUUACAACAACAUUGUGUUUCAAUGCCGACGCCUUACCCUGCAGAUGAGCUCGAUCACCUCUGGCUUAGUAAAAGGUCAAGUUUAGCAUCCAUCUCGUCUUGCUUCGUCUUGUACUCCUCUUCUUGUCUGACCCUUGCUUCUUAUGAUUCCUCUACCUUCUUAGUCAAGGUGUUAACAAUCUCACAAAGCUCUGCAUUACCUUUCUUCUCCGCUGCCAGUUGUGCUUCAAGGUUGGUACCACUGGUUCUCUCACGCACAUGCUGGAUCCCCACAUGCUGAAGAAACUUAGGCUUCUUGGUGUGCUGCCAGUUAUGCUUCAAGGUUGGUACCACUGGUUCUCUCAUGCACAUGCUGGAUCCCCACAUGCUGAAGAAACUUAGGCUUCUUGGUGUGCUGAGUGAGCACGUCAGAUACAACCUUAGUCGCAGAGAGAGGUUGUUGUCCCUCUUUGGUAGGUUGAGAGACCUUCUCUUCGAUUUGAGUCUAGCAAUGCAAGCAACAAACAAACAUGGUUAUGAGGUUAUGAGACAGCUUUGCCACAAGACAUAAAAACAAAUAGGAAAAUCUAAUCUAAGCACUAUGCACCACUGUUUUACCAUACGGCGGCUCGCACUGGCCCGCGCGCUACAUCACACAGAGGAGAACGGCGAAACAUAUUUUUCUUCUCGUUGCAGUAUAACUGCACAGGAAUCUAUUCUCUGCACUGCUGCACCUACACUUCUGAGUUGCUGACCCCAAAGGGUAUUCUACAAUGCUGCUACAGUAAAUACCUACACUGUUGUCCUACCGUGCUCUGAUGCAACAUGUGUUGUGCAGAGUACUUUUUUCAACAGGCACACUUCCUAUUAACAACUUGUAAUCUGGGGAUUACUUAAUGUGGCAACAAGCACUUGGAACAUACAAACUAAGGAUUAUUCAACUUGGCAAAUCGAGUAUACCUAAUCUGGCAACUAACCAUGGUAUUUUUUUUAGUAAAUAGGUACUUUGUAUUUCUGGCAACUAGUUAUGUUUAAACCUGGUAAGUGAGUACUUAUAAUCUGACAACUAAAACUAACUAGUAAAAGGUACGUGCCAUGCAUCUGUAGAUUUAAGGAUUGUUACCAAAUGUUGUAUGUUGAGAGGGAUUGAAGGAAUUUUUAAUCACUACAUAAUCAGGUUAUUAACUUCUUUUUUCAAGUAAGUCCAUACACAUGCAUGCAUAGAAUGAUUAGUCUAUCUGAUCAUUUAGAUAUUUACAUAAAAGAUUAUUGGUGAGAACAAUGGUAAAGUUAGGCCAUAAUAUUUGUAAACAAACUCAUAAGUGGAAGUGGCAAAAUGGAGAGGUUGAGGGUCUUUUUUUUUAAAAGAAAAAAGUAGCAAAGCAGCCUCUCAGCUCUCAGGCACCAGUAAUAAUAAAGAAAAUCAUGCACGCAGAUU